rnacentral:rRNA from 1 species
CAAGUCGAGGGGUAUAGGUUUUCGGACCUAGAGACCGGCGCACGGGUGCGUAACGCGUAUGCAAUCUACCUUUUACAGAGGGAUAGCCCAGAGAAAUUUGGAUUAAUACCUCANANNUAUUAUUGAAUGGCAUCAUUUAAUAAUUAAAGUCACAACGGUAAAAGAUGAGCAUGCGUCCCAUUAGCUAGUUGGUAAGGUAACGGCUUACCAAGGCAACGAUGGGUAGGGGUCCUGAGAGGGAGAUCCCCCACACUGGUACUGAGACACGGACCAGACUCCUACGGGAGGCAGCAGUGAGGAAUAUUGGUCAAUGGGCGCAAGCCUGAACCAGCCAUGCCGCGUGCAGGAUGACGGUCCUAUGGAUUGUAAACUGCUUUUGUACAGGAAGAAACAGUUCUACGUGUAGAACCUUGACGGUACUGUAAGAAUAAGGAUCGGCUAACUCCGUGCCAGCAGCCGCGGUAAUACGGAGGAUCCAAGCGUUAUCCGGAAUCAUUGGGUUUAAAGGGUCCGUAGGCGGUUUUGUAAGUCAGUGGUGAAAGCCCAUCGCUCAACGGUGGAACGGCCAUUGAUACUGCAAGACUUGAAUUAUUAGGAAGUAACUAGAAUAUGUAGUGUAGCGGUGAAAUGCUUAGAGAUUACAUGGAAUACCAAUUGCGAAGGCAGGUUACUACUAAUGGAUUGACGCUGAUGGACGAAAGCGUGGGGAGCGAACAGGAUUAGAUACCCUGGUAGUCCACGCCGUAAACGAUGGAUACUAGCUGUUCGGAGCAAUCUGAGUGGCUAAGCGAAAGUGAUAAGUAUCCCACCUGGGGGAGUACGUUCG